AUCCUUACAAAGGCCAUGCUUGUCUCUUGUGAGCUGGGGCCCACCUUAGCCUUCUUCAGAGGUGUUGCUUUAGCAAAUACCUUGGGUCCUCCCAGGCAAAAUCCUAUUUUAUUGAACCCAAAUAACAUGUGCAUCUAACAAGUUUAUUUCUGAAGGGUUGGCCCAGAGUUGGGUGCAGUUGACAUGGUGACCACAGACUUUCUCAAGAAAGGAAGAAAAUUCCUACAUGUAAUCACCAGCCUCUGUAUGGUUAGUCUCUGUGGAGGAGACUUGUUUUGGUGUCUAAGACUGGCAAGAUCAGGAAAAAGGAAAGUGAGCAUAAGAGAAGUCUAAAGACAGAAAGCCAGGCAGACAUUCAGGUCAGCCGGGACAAAUCAACCAACCAAUUAUUGUGAAACAAUGGCCUCCAAAAGUAGGUGUGGCCUACACCCCAAGGAUGAAC
rnacentral:lncRNA from 1 species